UACGGAGGUGGCAAGCGUUGCUCGGAAUCACUGGGCGUAAAGCGCACGUAGGCGGACUCUUAAGUCGGUGGUGAAAUCCUGGAGCUCAACUCCAGAACUGCCUUCGAUACUGGGAGUCUCGAGUUCGGGAGAGGUGAGUGGAACUGCGAGUGUAGAGGUGAAAUUCGUAGAUAUUCGCAAGAACACCAGUGGCGAAGGCGGCUCACUGGCCCGAUACUGACGCUGAGGUGCGAAAGCGUGGGGAGCAAACAGG
rnacentral:rRNA from 1 species